rnacentral:rRNA from 1 species
UACAGAGGUCUCAAGCGUUGUUCGGAUUCAUUGGGCGUAAAGGGUGUGUAGGUGGCGCCGUAAGUCGGGUGUGAAAUUUCGGAGCUUAACUCCGAAACUGCAUUCGAUACUGCGGUGCUUGAGGACUGGAGAGGAGACUGGAAUUCAUGGUGUAGCAGUGAAAUGUGUAGAUAUCGAGAGGAACACCAGUGGCGAAGGCGAGUCCCUGGACAACACCUGACACUGAGGCACGAAAGCUAGGGGAGCAAACAGG